rnacentral:rRNA from 1 species
UACGAAGGGGGCUAGCGUUGUUCGGAAUUACUGGGCGUAAAGCGCGCGUAGGCGGACUGACAAGUCGGGGGUGAAAUCCCGAGGCUCAACCUCGGAACUGCCUUCGAUACUGUCAGUCUUGAGGUCGGGAGAGGUGAGUGGAACUCCGAGUGUAGAGGUGAAAUUCGUAGAUAUUCGGAAGAACACCAGUGGCGAAGGCGGCUCACUGGCCCGAUUCUGACGCUGAGGCGCGAAAGCGUGGGAGCAACA